UACGUAGGUGGCAAGCGUUGUCCGGAAUUAUUGGGCGUAAAGCGCGCGCAGGCGGCCUUUUAAGUCUGAUGUGAAAUCUUGCGGCUCAACCGCAAGCGGCCAUUGGAAACUGGGAGGCUUGAGUACAGAAGAGGAGAGUGGAAUUCCACGUGUAGCGGUGAAAUGCGUAGAUAUCAGGAGGAACACCGGUGGUGCAGACGGCUCUCUGGACCGUAACUGACGCUGAGACACGAAGCGUGGGUAGCAAACAGG
rnacentral:rRNA from 1 species